AGUGUCGGCGCUCCCAGCAGCAGCUGACACCUGCCUGCACUUCCUGAGCCGACCCCUCACCCUCCCCACGGACUGACCUUGUGCUUUACUGGAGGUCAAAGGUUAAACCCCGGAGUCCCCUGAGAUCUCCACGCGCAGGACCCCGACUCUGGAAACAGGAAGAGAGCAAGUGUGUUAAGUGACUGAAUUCACACUAAUGAUCCACAACAAUCCGCACCAGCGUGUUAAUGUUAAUGUUAAUGUUAAUGUUAACGCUGUGGAUCGAGUUUAAUCAGGAACAGCCAGUUAUUGAUCAGUUUGAAUUAACCCAUUAUCGAUGAAUUAAUUAAUUAAACCUUGUUUUUUAAAAGCUCCAUCAGGACAAUAAUUCAUUAUUAAUUCACUUUACUUUGUUGUUUUAAGAAAGCUGUCAUCAAAAACACAAACACUGGUACACAAGACGAAACACACAGCAUGGUCACUAGGUGGCAGUGUUACGCUGAUGAAAUGAACUGCACCUCUUAAUAGAUCAGUCCGGUUCUGGUUCUGAGGUGCUGCUCUUUUGUUAACAUUGCUGGUAAAAAAACAACUAGGUUUUUUUAAUUUUUACAUUAUGGUUUCAAAGUAAAUUCACAUUAUAUAUAAUAUACAUUAAGGAAUAAUGUGAAAUAAAAGAGGAAGAAUAAAUAAGAAGAAAGAAUAAACAUCACGAAUAAGUGACUAAAUAUUCAUUUUCAAAAUUAUAUAUCAUAUUAAAUUAUAUUAAUACUAUAUUACAUUGUGUUAUAUUAUGCAAUAUUAUAUUUUAUCACACUGUUAUAUUAUAUUAUAUAAUAUUAUAUAUUAUAUUUUAAUAAAUUAUAUUGCUCAGUGUGAAACUGCAGAAUUGGAGCAGUUCACACUCUUAUUUUUAAUGAAUUCCUGCAGUUAUUCUUGAAUUUAUUUUCCCUGUUUAACAGAUUAAUUAUCAAUAAAUUAGAGAUAAUUAAUUAUUUUUUGUUAAACGUGUUGGUGCCCUAAUUAGACAGUUGGAUCAAGAUUUAAAUUAUCUAAAAUAAGUAACGAAGAAAUUAGAUAAAAAUUAAUUAAAUGAAUAAAUACAUGAAUAAAUAAAUAAAGCAGACCCCCCAUUGGAAAGUAAAGACACUAUAAUAAUCCUGAAGCUGUGAAUCCGUUGGCCUCUGGGUUUACCUCAUAGAAAUCGCCCUUCCAGUGUUGACGCUCUUCUUUAUACUGAUGAUAAUAAAGAUGGUCAUUAUCUGCAGGUCUGUGUUACUAAUAAGGAGUCCUGUUUGCGUUGUACCCUCAGACCUGCUGCUGUUUGGAGUUCCUGGACUGAUGGAUGG